GAAACUGACCAGAUAGAAUACCUGAGAGGGAGGUGGAAUUUCCGGUGUAACGGUGAGAUGCCUAAAAAUCCGGAGGAACACCCGUGGCGAAAGGGGCCCCCUGGUUGGAUACUUACCCUGAAACACCAAAACGUGGGGAACCAAAAAGAAUAAAUACCCCGGUAAUCCCCCCUCUAAACCAGUGGGACUAAGUGUCGGGUGUACUUCCCCGCUGUGUGCGGCAUCUCACACAUUAUAUGCCCCCCCUGGGGAGUACAGUCGCACGAUGAUAACUCUCAGGAGUUGUCAGGGGCCCCCACAAGCGGUGGAGAAUGUGGUUCAUUUCUACACACCGCGAAAAAACUUAUCUGUGCUAUACAACUGCGGACAACCCUAGAAAUAAGGUCUUCUCUUCUGGGACCUGUGGUUCAGGUGCGGCUGGCUGGUCUCCACUUCUGGCCUGGAAGUGUUGGUUUAAUUCCCCCACCAACCCCAACCUUGUUCCUUGUUU
rnacentral:rRNA from 1 species